UACGUAGGGGGCAAGCGUUGUCCGGAAUCAUUGGGCGUAAAGAGCGUGUAGGCGGUUCGGUAAGUCGGCUGUGAAAGUCCAGGGCUCAACCCUGGGAUGCCGGUCGAUACUGCCGGACUAGAGUUCGGAAGAGGCGAGUGGAAUUCCCAGUGUAGCGGUGAAAUGCGCAGAUAUCGGGAGGAACACCUAUGGCGAAGGCAGCUCGCUGGGACGUUACUGACGCUGAGACGCGAAAGCGUGGGGAGCAAACAGG
rnacentral:rRNA from 1 species